AGUGGGGCGCCAUUGUUCUUGCCGGGGCCGGCGUCCGGACUAGUCGUUGUUUGGUGUUUUAUUUCUUGGUUCGUGAAUAAUCGCCAGAAUGUCGGAGGGCUAUGGUGGUGGUGGCUAUGGCAGCCAGGGAAAUGGUGGCUAUGGAGGAGGUGGCUAUGGGUCCAGUGGUGACAGAUAUGGUGGUGGCGGGAGCACCGGUGGUUAUGAGAGAAGAGGCUCAUAUGACAGAGGCGGCCGGGGUGGCGGCGGUGGCUACCGCGGAGGCCGUGAUGGGGGCGACGGCUAUGGCGGCGGCGGCGGUGGUUACGGCGGCGGCCGCGACGGUGGCUACGGCGGUGGCCGUGACGGUGGCUAUGGCGG